AAACCCAGAUCUCUCAGGUAGCCUUAAACCAAGCCCCCCGGACCGCACCUGGAGGACAGUUCCCUGGACAAACUCAACAGAAUCCGAGAGGACAAGCCAAUGCCAUUAACCUACGAAGUAGGACCGCUUAUGAUGAUCCAUUUAACUCAAGAUUGAGUGAACCCAAAACUUCUAAGGAAUAUACCGAACCCAUGGACGAAGUAAAGGAACCAGAGGAAUCUGAAAAACAGGAAGGUCAAGAAAAAGGAGAAGAACCUAAAGACAAAAC
rnacentral:lncRNA from 1 species